rnacentral:lncRNA from 1 species
GAUGAGGCAGAUUAUAUUUCACUUAUCUUGAUCUUGAGCUCGAUGCCCAUUCUCACUGAUCUGAUCAUUUUGUACUAGAUUUUUUAGGUUAUUUAGUUGUUAUAUUUUGUUGAAUGUAUAAGAGCUUUAUGCUCAUAGAUAUAUAUUAUGACUCUUGUAACCUCUCUUUUUGUUGUAAUUAAUGAAUGAGGUUAUCCUUUAGUAUCACUUUGUAUGGCCCA